GACGAACCAGGCUUCGGCCUGGGGCAGGGCCGCGAACGGGUGAGUAACACGUGGGUAACCUGCCUCGAUGACCGGGACAACCCGGGGAAACCCGGGCUAAUACCGGAUGUGCUGCUCUCACAUCAGUGAGAGCUGGAAAGGAAGCUUCGGCCUCCGCAUCGAGAUGGGCCCGCGGCCCAUUAGCUUGUUGGUGGGUAACGGCCUACCAAGGCGACGAUCCGUAGCUGAUCUUAGAGGAUGAUCAGCCACACUGGGACUGAGACACGGCCCAGACUCCUACGGGAGGCAGCAGUGGGGAAUCCUGGACAAUGGGCGCAAGCCUGAUCCAGCCAUGCCGCGUGAGUGAAGAAGGUCUUCGGAUUAUAAAGCUCUUUUGGCAGGGACGAUAAUGACGGUACCUGCAGAAUAAGCCCCGGCAAACUUCGUGCCAGCAGCCGCCGUAAUAC
rnacentral:rRNA from 1 species